CCUACGGGCGGCAGCAGUGAGGAAUAUUGGUCAAUGGACGAGAGUCUGAACCAGCCAAGUAGCGUGAAGGAUGACUGCCCUAUGGGUUGUAAACUUCUUUUAUAUGGGAAUAAAACGUUCCACGUGUGGGAUUUUGUAUGUACCAUAUGAAUAAGGAUCGGCUAACUCCGUGCCAGCAGCCGCGGUAAUACGGAGGAUCCGAGCGUUAUCCGGAUUUAUUGGGUUUAAAGGGAGCGUAGGUGGAUUGUUAAGUCAGUUGUGAAAGUUUGCGGCUCAACCGUAAAAUUGCAGUUGAAACUGGCAGUCUUGAGUACAGUAGAGGUGGACGGAAUUCGUGGUGUAGCGGUGAAAUGCUUAGAUAUCACGAAGAACUCCGAUUGCGAAGGCAGUUCACUGGACUGCAACUGACACUGAGGCUCGAAAGUGUGGGUAUCAAACAGGAUUAGAUACCCGAGUAGUC
rnacentral:rRNA from 1 species